rnacentral:rRNA from 1 species
GAUGAACGCUGACAGAAUGCUUAACACAUGCAAGUCGAUGGGGAAGUGGUGCUUGCACCAUGGCAACCAUGGCGGACGGGUGAGUAACGCGUAAGGGACUUACCUGCAGGACUGGGAUAACAGGGGGAAACUCCUGACAAGACCGGAUAAUGUCAUGGAGCUUCAUGGCUUUAUGAUGAAAGGAGACGCCUGCGGAGAGCCUUGCGUCCUAUUAGCUAGUUGGUGAGGUAAUGGCUCACCAAGGCGAAGAUAGGUAGCCGGCCUGAGAGGGUGGACGGCCACAAGGGGACUGAGAUACGGCCCUUACUCCUACGGGAGGCAGCAGUGGGGAAUAUUGGACAAUGGGGGCAACCCUGAUCCAGCAAUUCUGUGUGCACGAAGAAGGUUUUCGGAUUGUAAAGUGCUUUCAGCAGGGAAGAAGUAAGUGACGGUACCUGCAGAAGAAGCGACGGCUAAAUACGUG